rnacentral:rRNA from 1 species
AAUCUUCCGCAAUGGACGAAAGUCUGACGGAGCAACGCCGCGUGAGUGAUGAAGGUUUUCGGAUCGUAAAACUCUGUUAUUAGGGAAGAACAAAUGUGUAAGUAACUGUGCACAUCUUGACGGUACCUAAUCAGAAAGCCACGGCUAACUACGUGCCAGCAGCCGCGGUAAUACGUAGGUGGCAAGCGUUAUCCGGAAUUAUUGGGCGUAAAGCGCGCGUAGGCGGUUUCUUAAGUCUGAUGUGAAAGCCCACGGCUCAACCGUGGAGGGUCAUUGGAAACUGGGAAACUUGAGUACAGAAGAGGAAAGUGGAAUUCCAUGUGUAGCGGUGAAAUGCGCAGAGAUAUGGAGGAACACCAGUGGCGAAGGCGACUUUCUGGUCUGUAACUGACGCUGAUGUGCGAAAGCGUGGGGAUCAAACAG